CAUAGAAUUUACUAAGUAUUUAGCUCAGAAAAUAAAUUAUUUAAUAACCAUUGUAGAACAGAAUUACCAGAUAUCUAAGAAAUCAUUUAGUUUGAGAAAUGGAUAGAUUGGAAUUUCUCAGUAUUACAUCACUACCUCAGAUACAUAAAGCUUGUUUGAUCUCAACUAUUAGGAGGAUACUCUAAAAUCUACUAAGCACAAAUGUAUAACAAAACAUUAGCAACAAUUCAUUGAAAUGUAUGGUCAUACAUCAUAACAAACCAGUUUUCUAGCAUCAUCUUUGGUCAAUUUGACAAACCAUGAAAGUAAGUUCCAAUGUUGUCGGAAAUCACAAGCAUAACAAGACAUACAGAACCUAGUUAACUUAGUUAUCUUUCAGAUGUUUCUUUUGGUGCAUUCAAUGAAGUUUCCCCAUGAUGAACUGUCUAGGCAAGUGAAGAUCAAACUCCUCAGUUGUAUGCAUGUAACUAUUCCAGCAUACGAAGUGCGCAGAACUGGUUUGCUUUUACACAUGCUACCAACGUAAAUUCUAUCUCUUUCGUUUCCAAUGUAUAAGAUUAAAUUAAAUAUUAUAUUCAGAAGUACAAAGGAGAGGAAGUGAAACAAGCCUUGACAUUUAUUACAACAAAUCAUCAUGUAGAUCUAAAAGACAUAAGACAUUAAAACCUUUGAAACAGGAAAAAAAAAUGCUUAUAAUCUAAAAGACACAAGACAUUAAAACCUUUGAAAAAGAAAAAACAGAAACUUAUUAUAAAUAACUUCAUUUAUGUCCGGCUACCCUUUUCGAUCAGGAAAAUGAAAAACUGGUGUAUGCAAGCUUGCUCUGGCAGUUGAAGUUUAAAUGCAAAUCCUAAUGUUGCAAGAUAAAAAAUUAACUGAAUACCUCGCAACUAGAUAAAGGUGCAUUGCAGUACAAAAACAAUAUGAUCCUAGUACAAAAACAAAACUUUAGUACCAAAUUAGGAGUACCAAAAAUCCAGAGUAGUAUCAAUUAUGUUCCUUGAGGCACAAUUUUAAUUUUCAUAAGAUGAAUAGAUGAUGGUUGGACAUGUACUUUUGCUUUAGAGGAAGUAAUUGAGUAAAGUGUAGCACAAAGUUGGGGGGAAAUAUUUUCUCUAGAAAAAUGUAGCACAAAGUUUCUCAUCAUCUAGAUUAACUGUAUCUUCCGUAUGCGGCAUAGUCCAUUGACAUCGUGUUUCAAUUACAUAUACACAUUUACUGGUAUAAGACAGCUUCAUCAUUACCAAACCUAUAUAUUUUGCAUACUGUUUUU
rnacentral:lncRNA from 1 species